UAUAUAUAUAUAUAUAUAUAUAUAUAUAUAUAUAUAUAUAUAUAUAUUUUUUUUUUUUUUAAUGAGAAACUGCAUGUUUAAAGAGUAUAUGAAUAAAAAAAAGUCAACACUAUGUAUCAGUGUUUUCACUGUUUGGAUUUUUGCAUAUGUGUUUUCACUGUUUGGAUUUUUGCAUAUUGCACGGACGUGUGCGUCCGUGCGUGAGAACAUGCGCACAUGUCUGUGUGUUUGUGUGUCUGUGGUCUAUAGUCUAAAAUCUACAACCCCAGAGCAGAAAAAAGGUGGACGGGAUGUUGAAAUUGAAAUUAAAACUCAAAACAAUGAUUAGUAAAUAAUUUUGACCUGUAUUGCAUUUAAAGCAACACAACAGCACACUGUUUGAUGUUUUAUCUUAAGGCAAGAUCUGGAAGACCAAAAACAUUUCCAGAUGAAAUUAAACAUAUGCUGGGAAGAAACACAUCCUUUCGGCUAUUCCACCCCAUUAGGCCACAUCCCAUAGUGAAUAUUUAAAACAGCUGCUAAGACCUAUCCCACAUUCCUCCUGAAACCCUACUCACGCAGCCAUUGGAAACACACUGACACAGAGAAAACGUUUGGAAGAUGGAAGGAAAAGCAGCUUUGGCUACUGGUGUAUCCAGUGCACCAACAUACCUGGCUUGGUCCAUCUUUAACACAAUAUGCUGCUGUACUCCAAUUGGAAUCGUUGCAAUUGUGUUCUCCUGCCGGACGGACACAGCUAACCUUAUUGGUGAUACUACAAGAGCUAAUGCGCAUUCCAGGUUGGCCAAGAAAUUGAAUAUCACCGCACUGGUGACUGGCAUCAUUUUUCUCAUCAUUGUCAUCAUCUUUUAUGCUUUUUUGCUUCAACAGCCCUAAAUGCGCACUACAAAGCAGUGGAAACAAAUCACACUCUGUUAUGGACACAGAAGUGUGAAAGUAUUUGAAAAUACUCCCAAAUUUGGCUCAGAGCUGACUUGUUGUAUUUGCUUUUUGAUUUCACUAUAUUUUUAAAUGAAAAACUAUUGUAUUGUAUUACAUUGUAUUGACCACUGUUGCUUUAUUAUUUUUAUAUAAAUGCUUUGCUAUUCUUUUUAUAUGAAUGCAUCCUAAUUUCUAUAUAUGAAUGUAUGAUGUAAAGAUCCAAAUAAAAUGUGUGUGUGUGCGUGUGUGUGUGUGUGCGCGUGUGUUUUCCUUCACAGCAACUUUUCAUCCAAUAGUCUGAAGUCCAGGUCUAGUUUACUUUCCUGAGUUUCUGUUACUCAGUUUUUAAACAUAUUACUGUGUCUAGCUUACUAACUAUGGUCCUAAUAGCAAUUUUAUCUCAUUAAAUUAUCUGCUAUUUGGUCACAACACCACAUAUAUAGAGAGAAUGAUUCAAUAACAGUGGUGAUCAGUGACUGAGUGCUGGGAUCAUAGGUUUAAAAUAACACAACUCAGUCAGUCAUGACACAUUAGUGGUAAGUCAACUGAGCCUGUUAUCAUAACCUCUAUAUCCAGCAGCUGUGAUUUGAGCUGUUAAACCGUCUCGAGUGCUACUGACAUCUGCUUAAAAGGUUCCUAUGUUUGUUGCUAGGCUGUUUGGCUUUUAAAUAAAGUCACCAAAGGGAUCUUCAAAGUUCCUACUUUGUCAACACUAAA